AUGUAUAUGUCUGGACUUUUUUUUUUCUCUCUCUUUUCUUUCUUACUUUCUUUCUUAUUUCCACUCUGUUUCCCCUUCAGAAAUUUUAUUCCAGGAAUGCAAAGGCAGAGAUAAACACAAGCAAGUGCCUUUGCCUGUCAAGACUUGGGAAAUAUUGCUGCUGAAAGAUCAGCCGUCAGCCAUCUAUCGCUUGGGAAAAAAGAGAAUUGGAGGACACGGGACAUGUUACAGGGCUCGAGGAAGACAACUGGAUAUUUCUGAUUUCCUCUUGAAGGAGAUGCAGUUGCAUAUACUUGUCCUUCUCGUCCAGUCUCACCGUUAACCAGGUUUAUUUGUAAAUGAGCCAUUACUGCCUGUCAAGACCCAAUUCGAUAUAAUGAAUGGUUCCACAAAAUAAAAUAUUACUGGGAAGAGGGGGAAAUUUUUAGAGCGUGAUUGGAAGACCUUAUCUAAGAAACAAACAGAAGCUGUCACCUACUCCUUGCAAAGACAUCUGCCAGAGCUGGAUGAAGUUUACUUGCAUGCUGGGAAAUUAAGCUUAUUUAAUUGACAUUCCUUUGAGAUCAGAGGUGUUCUGGACACGCUGCAAAGUGGUGGAAAGAUAACAGGAUCUCAAAAAGAAGGGACUGCAACAAAAUAGGAUUGGCAAUAGCUGUUUUACUGGAAAGAUGAAGAGAUAAUGAUGGACUCGUAAAUUACACUCCUGAGCAACCACUGUAUGAUGAGAAAUUUCUUUCCCGGAGCAGAAGCCGCGAAUAUACAGCUGCCAAGUCCCACCGCAGAGGUGACUAUAUUUUUGAACAGGGCUGAAUCCAGUUCUGCUUCAUUGGUAUCGGUACCCAAAGCCUUCCUGGACUGAAGAUUUGGCUGGUGUCAUUGUGCUCCUCCUUUCUUGCCUAUUCAGUUUUUCAGCAGCUUAGAAGAUUUGAUAGACCUUUAGGAGCAAGUAUAUUCUUGUUGUGGAGAUUUAACCUUAUUCAAUAUUUUCUUGUAUUCGUGUUAAAAGAAAGGAGGACAGAAAUUCCUUCUGAAUCUGCCUUGAUUGUAUUGCAUUGUAUUGCAUGGUCAGAGAAGGAGAGCGGAUCACCAAAAAGGCUACAGUCUCCUGUAGGUCAUCAGAUUUCCUAUCAGUGUCCGUUGGACUACAAAGAGCAUCAUAAAAUGUGUGGAUAGCAGAAGAGAAAACUUCUAAAAGCGGAGAGAAGAAGAAUUUUAUCUUUGUUGUAUUUGACAAAGAGAGUUGGCCUUCAGUCAGAUCUAGAGGGAAAUAGUUCAAGUAGAAAAAGAUAAAAAUAUAAUGAAAAGGUGGGGAAGAAAAGAACAUAACUGAAUACAAUUACCACGGAUAGUCCAGCGACAAAGCAUAUUCAUCAUUACAGGGUCUGUCUUACUAAAUGUAUGGCAAUCUACCACUAGCAACACAUAUAGCUGUUCUGUUGAUGCAAGCAGGGGAGAUUUUUUGUAAAGGAUGAAGUCGAUCUUUUCCCAUUGCUAAUGACUCACACACUGGAAGGUAUUACUUUACAUAAUAAACACUGUAUAACACCUAGGAUGUGAGAUAAC
ensembl:lncRNA